GACGAACGCUGGCGGCGUGCUUAACACAUGCAAGUCGAACGGAAAGGCCCUGCUUUUGUGGGGUGCUCGAGUGGCGAACGGGUGAGUCACACGUGCGUAACCUGCCCUUGACUUUGGGAUAACUUCAGGAAACUGGGGCUAAUACCGGAUAGGAUCUCCUGCUGCAUGGUGGGGGUUGGAAAGUUUCGGCGGUUGGGGAUGGACUCGCGGCUUAUCAGCUUGUUGGUGGGUUAGUGGCUUACCACGGCUUUGACGGGUAGCCGGCCUGCGGGGGUGACCGGCUAGAUUGGGACUGAGAUACUGCCCAGACUGCUACGGGAGGCAGCAGUGGGUGAUAUUGGACAAUGGGCGGAGGCCGGAUGCAGGAACGCCGCGUGCGGGAUGACGGCGUUCGGGUUUGAAGCCGCUUUCGCAUCUGACGCCGCGUGCGUGACGGUAGUGGGUACAGAAGCGCCGGCUAACUACGUG
rnacentral:rRNA from 1 species